rnacentral:rRNA from 1 species
GACGUAGGAUGCAAGCGUUGUCCGGAUUUAUUGGGCGUAAAGAGUUCGUAGGCUGUUUGUUAAGUCUGGUGUUAAAGACUGAGGCCCAACCUCGGAAAUGCAUCGGAUACUGGCAGACUUGAGUACGGUAGAGGCGAGUGGAAUUCCCAGUGUAGCGGUGAAAUGCGUAGAUAUUGGGAAGAACACCGGUGGCGUAGGCGACUCGCUGGGCCGCCACUGACGCUGAGGAACGAAAGCCAGGGGAGCGAAUGGG